rnacentral:rRNA from 1 species
CUUACCUACGGGGGGCAGCAGUGGGGGAUAUUGCACAAUGGGGGAAACCCUGAUGCAGCGACGCCGCGUGGGCGAAGAAAAUGACGGUACCUGAAGAAGAAGCCCCGGCUAACUACGUGCCAGCAGCCGCGGUAAUACGUAGGGGGCAAGCGUUAUCCGGAUUUACUGGGUGUAAAGGGGGCGCAGACGGCGAUGCAAGCCAGGAGUGAAAGCCCGGGGCCCAACCCCGGGACUGCUCUUGGAACUGCGUGGCUGGAGUGCAGGAGGGGCAGGCGGAAUUCCUGGUGGAGCGGUGAAAUGAGUAG